AGGGAAUCCGGUGGGACUCCGGAGCUGACGCGCAGCGGUAAGGGCGACGGGCGGGGCUUUCGGCCACUGGAACGCGCAUGCGCUCCGGGAAGGCGCCUCGCCCGGGUGACCCCGAGUCCGAAGACCU
rnacentral:ncRNA from 2 species